rnacentral:rRNA from 1 species
UACAGAGGUCCCAAGCGUUGUUCGGAUUCACUGGGCGUAAAGGGUGCGUAGGUGGUCGGGUAAGUCUGAUGUGAAAUCUCCGAGCUCAACUCGGAAAUGGCAUUGGAUACUAUUCGGCUAGAGGAGUGGAGGGGGGACUGGAAUACUUGGUGUAGCAGUGAAAUGCGUAGAUAUCAAGUGGAACACCAGUGGCGAAGGCGAGUCCCUGGACACUUCCUGACACUGAGGCAUGAAAGCUAGGGGAGCAAACAGG